UUGGUUGGCGAGGUGGGGAAUAGGCUUUCCAAUAGAUUUUUUCGGAGCUUUACAUUUUUCAAGCGUGGCAACGGCGCAUUACGGCCAGCAUUUCAAGAGCUUUACAGAGGGCAACUGGAGAGAGGAAAUUGUUGACCGAGUUGAUUUGCAGCUCAAGAAGGUGCUACCCCGUCUGCUCACAAGGCGCUACAACGUGAAUUUCCUACCUAACUGAUGAUUAGUGGGUGUGUUUGUGUGUUGAUUUGUUAUGUCGAGCUAUGUUUGGAUCUCUCUCCUAGCUUUGUUGGGUACUAUUGAAUUGUGUUUGCAUCUCUCCCGUAUCACUAGAUUGGUUUAAACUAUGUUUCUUUGUAUCUCUGCCCUUGUUGGGUACGUACUAAAUUUGACUUUAACUAAACAAGUGUUGUGGCUCGGCCGGCCCGUACUCUCAGUUGUUUGGAA